GUGCUUUUACUUAUUAUGUGGUGCUCCUCGUGAUUACGUUGAGGUGAAAACCACGGGUUCCUGUGCGUCAUACCUAUCGAGAUGGAAAUUCCCCCCUUCGGGUGCCCCUUUUCAUCCUCUCCUCCUUAAUGGAUGCUUGGUUGGACUAUAAGAUAAUAAGGCUCGUGCUCCACGGACAUCUCGUACGAUCGUUCGCUUGGAACUUGACUACUUUUCUUGUCUCUCGGAUGCGGAACUUUGCCUCACGGGCAUUGGGUGUGAUCGGCCCUAAUCCCGAAUGUUGAAGCGUUCAUCGCUCAUAACGGAAUGACGGUCUUGCCUUGUCCUAUGAUCACGUAGAGCUCUCGGGAGACACGAAGGAUCAUGCUUGGAGGACGUCGUGAAGGAAUGC
rnacentral:misc_RNA from 1 species